rnacentral:lncRNA from 1 species
UGUUGAGAUAUUUUCCUGAUUUGACUUAAUCCGCCAAUCUUGCUUACAGGGCUGAUGCAAAUUCAACGAACGGUGGUCCGUCAGAGAGGUCCCUACUUCAGACCGAACAUGAAUAAAUACCCGAAAGGAGCGGUGUAUGCCAGAUAUAGGGUGCCACCGAUUUACGUGACCUUCAAAUGUCCGCCGAAAGUUGGCUUAUUGCUGUGCAGGGGGAGUUGCGAGAGACGGAGCAAAUACACGAUAGGAUCCUGCGAUAAUGGCUAUUGUACCUGUUUACUGCUCACGCCUGGUUUUCGUGGUAAAGGAGUCUUUGCAAGAAGAGCGAAUUGUUCAUUGAAAGAGGAUAGAAUGAAGUGUAACCGAUUCUGCCGCUACCAGUUCGGCAGGACUGCUUACGGAUUAUGUCGUGGCACGGUGUGCCGAUGCUUCACAAACCCGGGGAUCUCGACGAAAAAUCAAAUGACUGCUUGUGAGCAGGCACGGAGAAGGCUGGCGUUUCUGGAAGCGAGCUUGCGGAAGAUUUUGCGGAAGGAACCGUCCACCCGGACACCAGCUGAAAGACGAUUCCUCCAAGAGGUCAGGAAGAGACCUGAGGUCCUCAGACGUUUAGCCACGCCGAGGGGACGACGCUCCCCCAGGCGGAUGCCGUACUACAGGGGCACAGGGUCCCCCGGGUCCCCAGGGUCCAGGAAGCCCCAGCCAACUCUCCAACAGACCAUUCCAUUGAGUAAGAUCCCGAACGGGAAGAAGUACACCGGGAGUCCACGAAAGUCCCCAGCGAGAGCUACUAAAUACGUGCCAGGACCAUCUAAGAGCCCAUAUCAGAGCCCGCGGCGGAACCAGAGGACGGGUAAGUCAAACUCGAGGAAGGGUGGGUCCAGCUCGACGAAAGGUGGGUCUAACUCGAGGAGGGUUGGUUCAAGCCCUAGAAAGGGUGGAUCGAGCUCGAAGCAAGCACCUAAGAGGGCCCAAAGUCCUCUUAAAAAUAGACGACAAAGUCCUGGAAAUGGAGGCUUUGGCGGUGUUCCAGCAAGAAAGACACGCAAGGAAGAAGAUGACGAUGACGAUGAUAGUGGAGAAAGUGGAAGCCUUCGUAACGGUGGUAAUGGAGGGGGCCGGAAUGGUGGGGUAGGUGGUCGAGUUGGAGGAGGAGGUGGCCAAGGUGGUGGAUAUGGCCGAGGUAGAGGAGAAGAUGACGAAGAUGGAGAUGAGUUCGGCCGAGGCGGAGGAGGAGGCCGAGGUGGAGGUGUAGGUGGAGGCCAAGGUGGCGGAUAUGGCCGAGGUAGAGGGGAAGAUGGCGAAGAUGGAGAUGAGUUCGGACGAGGCGGAAGAGGAGGCCGAGGUGGAGGUGUAGGUGGAGGUCUAGGUGGUCUCGACGGAGGCGUAGGUGGAGGCCUAGGUGCAGGAGGUGGAGGCCGAGGUGGAGGAUCCAGUGGAGGAAGAGGAGGCCCAGGUGGAGGAAGAGAUGGCCUAGAUGGAGGAGGAGGCAGCCAACGUGGAGGAAGAGGUGGUCUAGGUGGAGGAAGAGAUGGCCUAGAUGGAGGAGAUGGGAGCCAGCGUGGAGGAAGAGGUGGUGUGGGCGGAGGAGGAUUCCUAGGUGGAGGAAGAGGUGGUCUAGGGGGAGGAGAAGAAAGCCGAAGUGGAGGAAGGAAUGGCCUAGCUGGAGGAGGAGGAAGCCGCGGUGGAGGCAAUGGAGGAUAUGACACGCCAGGUAAAAACGGGUACGCACCAGGUGGGCAGAAAUAUGGGCAAGGAUAUGGCGGGGAAGGCAGUCAGUUGAAUAGUGAAGAAUACGAUUCGGAAGAGAACGAUCGGAGAGGUCUUAACGGCGGUUAUGGAGGAAGACAAAAAGAUGGACGUCUGGCAGGCGAUGUGCCCAACUACGGAAGAACAGAUUCGCGAGGAGGCGGUCGAGGCUCGGUCGCACCAUCAGUCACCCCAUCCGGGACACCAGCAAGCACGCCACGAUCCGGAAGACAAGUGCCGCCCCCAUUAGCGCAGCAGACUCUCGGCCGUGACGAUCCCGCUAUCCACGUCGGGGGCAAGUUCGGGGACCCCGCGGAACGAAGUCGCCUCGAGAACCAUAGGGAUGCCCUCGAACAAGAGAGGGUAGGCAUAGAUCCCAAGACAGGAAAAGAGGUGGUCGUGCCCUACCUCCAUCCCGACAAGGCGGGAGGCAGGACCCGCCGAUCCCACCCGGCGCACGAGAGGAGGUAAAGGUGGACCCUGUGACUGGUCAGACGUAUCUGCCGAACCACGAAUCAAAGCAAGUUCUUUCCGAAGAGGGUGCAUGCCCGAUCCCUCCAGCCCCGGGAGUCCAAGACGGGCUCCGCGAUCCGCCAGGUCUUCGGGAAGAGGAGCUGCGCAACACGGGAGGUCUCCGAGAUGACCUGCGCGAUAAUCGUAAUCUGGGGUAUGAGGACGACCCGCCACGUAAUCGCGAACAGGGGUAUCGGGGCAAUCAGGGCGGGUAUGAGGACAAUUACGCCCGCCCCGAUCGAGGUUAUCGAAAUAACCAGGGUGGAUACUAUGGUGGAGACGAGGAACUGCUGGAUGAGUGGAAUGAAGAUCGAGAUUAUGACCCCAAUGAGGAUUACGAAUAUGAGCAACCGAACAGAAAUCCGCGGGGUGUGCGGCCUCAGUUGUAUGAUGAUGAGGUAGAGCCAAGGUACGAGGAUCGGUUGGGGCCUCAGUACCAGCAGGAAAAUGAAUACCCGCAGUAUCAGAAACAGCAAGGUUACGGAAACAGACAACGAGAACUGGAGGAGGAAGAAGCUUAUCGGCGAGAGGAGGAAUUAAUGCAGAGACCUCGUCCACGAUAUUGAUUCACUUUGCAGGAGGGAAAAAUCAAUGGGUCGGCUGCGCUAGAGUCCCUUUAUACUGAGAGUCGAGACAAUGUGAAUCCAUUUCUGAUUGGUUCCCGUAGUUUAGGCCUCCACAUUGUCACAAACGGGAAUUAAGAUUACAUUUUCACCAAUUCCAAAGAUUAUAAUCUAGAAUGGACCGGGGAAUAACGGGUUCGACAAGGAACGAACGGAAUGAGAGAAGGAACGGAGACGGAGAGAGGAAUUUGAGAAUAAGCCGAUCAAAGAUUACGAAAAACUGACAAUUUUUGUAAUCUUUAUUCCCGUUUGUGACUCCAUGAGGGGGAGGGGAGGGGUGUCUUAACUCUCAGUAUAAAGGGACUCUGGGCUGCGGUGGUCAUAGAAUGGAGAUGUUGCAUGUGUGAGUGAUUUGCGAUUUGACCAUUGAUUCAUACGUAAAAGGUCGCGAGAAACACGAUGGUGCCACUGGUUUUCUCUGAAAUCAUAUCCCAAGCUCAAAAAAAGCUCUCAAAGUGAGGCCAAAAUGGAGGGGAUUUCCCACCCUACCCUGAGAGUCCACCUCUACAUCAAAACAAACUCGUUUUCAGUUUUGGAGCCCCCAAAUAAAGUGACAACCCUGCCAAUGUAUUUGCUCCCUAUCUAUGUAUGGAUAGUUUGUUUUGAUGUAGAGGUGCGGACUCUCAGGGUAGGGUGUGAUAUCCCCUCCAUUUUGGCCUCACUUUGAAAGCUUUUUUGAGCUUGGGAUAUGAUUUCAGAGAAAACCAGUGGCACCAUCGUGUUUCUCGCGAACUUUUACAUAAGAAUCAAUGGUCAAAUCGCAAAUCCCUCACACAUGCAACAUCUCCAUUGGACGUAUUUAUGUCAAAUGGAGCUAUGUGCAAGUGGAAAGAUGGGGUGUGCUCGUUAGUGCUCGGGCCAUUAGAAUGAAUGGGACUUUAAAAGCGCCAGUGACAUCAGCGAUGAGGACCGGGCGCGAGGAGGCGCGACAUGAGCGACGACGACUAGGUCGUCAAUCUUUAACUCAUGAGCCCUGUCCACAAGGCUCUUGUCACAUGCCCGCGGCUCACGAGUUAGCGCUUAGUUCCUUUUGAUUUAAUUGAAAUUUCCGCUUUUCCAUUUUCUAAAAAGGAACUAUAUUCAUUUUUACAUUGUUUCUUAUGCAGUUUCCACGAGCACACCCCAUCUUUCCACCUCCACAUAGUUCCUUGUGGCAUAAAUACAUUUAAUUUUUGUUUCAAUGCUUGAUUCUUGUAGAUUAGUUAGAAAUAUUAAGAUCUGUCCAAACCGCAACUUUCUACGUUCGAUAUUAACCGAGAUAUCGCCCUUUGAAAAGUUGGUUUUUGACGUCAUCCACCGCGGUAGUGACACCCUUGGUUUCUUUCGCCCUGUUUUUCAUCCGCGUUUCACGUAGAGUAACAUCAGUGCUAAUAUGUGUCUCCCUAACUGAUAAAACCAAGGUGGAAGAAACCAAAGGUGCCACUAUCGCGGUGGAUGACUUCAAAAGCCCGACUUUUCAUAGGGCAAUUUCUCGGUUAAUAUUGAACGUAGAAAGUUGCGGUUUGGACAGAUCUUAAUAUUUUCAGCUAAUCUACUAGAUUCAAGCAUCAGCGCAACUGACCCACAGAGGGGCUAGGAAAACAAACGGGAUAGGUGCAUUUUUUACUGUUUCAAGAAAUACGUGUUUCAGUUUCUAAAUUACAUGGAUCCUUGAAAGCAAGUUUAAACUCACUUUUGGAUGCUAAAAAUUUGAUUUUAGUGGUGAAAUUUUCACAGAGUAUAUUUUCAGGCUAGUUUCAGUUGGAAUCAUCAAUAUCUCAGUUUUUUUCAAAAAUUGCACUUAUCUCAUAAUUUGUCUUCCGAGCCUCUCAAUUGCAACCGGAUCUGUGAAAAGGAGUUUUACUUUCCAGGAGAAAAUUUUCCUUAACUUUUUGCAAAACACGAAUAGGAGUAUUAUUGUUUUGAUUAAUACGUCACAUCAUUCUAACUUCAAAAGCAUAACAAUUUUCGCCCACGAAGCCAACUCAAACACCCAAAGCAAGCCAUCCCCAAUCUAAAAUAAAUAUUUUGGAUCACCGAGUUUUUUUCACAGAAGAAGACUUUCAUAUAUUAAAGAUGAUGACUAAGCACAUGCAGAUCAAGCAUCAACUCUACUUUCCUUCGAUUUGUGUCGGUUCCUUUCUUCUAAAUCGACGGCCAAAGUGAGCACCCGCGCGUAUUACCAUCGCGAUGUUUCAACAUUUCCACUCAUAGUUUAUUUUUGCGAAGCUAAACAAGUCAACUUUAUAGCUUGAAACCUAUACAUAAAUAUUCUGCUGGCAGAUAAAAAAAAUCAAGGAAGUUUUCAAGAAAUUACGUUGAAUAUAGUAAUCGAAAAAAAAAUUAAGUAGACAGGAAGUUUACAACAUCGCAAACUCAGAUACGUGGUUUCGCACUUCGGUCCUCGAAAUGUGAUUCAAAAAUGCGUGUUUCUGUGCCUGUUUCAUUCUCCUCUAUGUGCGGGGUGAAAAGCCCUCAUGGGAAUCUGCUGAACCUUUGUUAGGAUGUGCUCGUGGCUUUUCGAGACAUAGAAUUUUAUUAAAAUCAAAUUAAAUUAAGUUGUUGAACAGAGACAUUAAAUUCGAAAGCGAGUUUGAAAACGCCAGAGCAACAAACAAAUGUUUAUAUACUCGUCAAAAUGACUUGAAUGCAGGCAUAUUAUUUGCUACAUGACACCCGAGACCGCACAAAAACUCAUCAACUUCAUUACAAAAUAAUUAAUCCGAUUUUUCUCUCGAUUAGGUAUACAUCCCUCUCCCCCCCUUACUUUUCGACUGGUAAAAUUAGACUUUGACUUGUUAUGCUAGUUAUUUAAUCAGAAGUUAGAUAAAUUAACCUAAGAAGUAGCACUAUGAAUUGUUUCUGUAAAUAAAAAUUACCCACAUAUUAUAGUAGUCUACUACACUUAUACAUAAUAAGCAAAGGAGAGCGAGCUUUCUAAUGCUUUGUCUCAUUAUAAUAUCAAUUAUUUCUGUAAAUUGUGAUAUUAUUUUUGUAUAAAGAAAUAUGACUUUUGGAAAUAGUUUUUCCUUUAUUUUUUUUAAAAUCAGAGUUCUCCUGCCUUUACAAAUGCUCACCUCUCCCUAUGAAAAACACUGUGAAAAAAUGAAAAAGUCGAUUUAAACUCCAGAGGAAUUGAAAGAAGAAGUACGGAGGAGGAAAAAUAAACAUCCGAUUCGCAAGGAUAUUUGGAACAAUAAAAUUUUCAAUGUGCAGUUAAUGUCACAGUCGCUGAACAUCAAAUUUUUCACUUAUUUUUUUAAUCAAUAUCAUAAAUCACUCGCACAUCCCACUUAUAAUAGUUACCCGACCUAUGUCGGCAAUUCUUUCGUUCACGAUAACUAUCGUUAGAUUUACGUUAGCAGAUUCAAAUUUUGUAAUUUUGUCCAUUUUGGUCUGAUGAAGAACUGUAUAGAUUUUCGGAUAAAUCGCAUUUACCGAUUACUUAUAAACGGUAAUUAACGUAGGUAAGUGCCCUACAUACGCUGUUUUCCACUAAUCUGUUUUUAUGAAAGUUCCAUGUUCCUUAGUUUCCUUGGUAACCUUUGUUUGCUAUCAGCUGAUGUUUUAUUUCAAUUUCUUUUUUUCAUUUUUUCUUUUUUUUUGUUAAUAAAUCUUUGCUAG